GACGAACGCUGGCGGCGUGGAUUAGGCAUGCAAGUCGAACGGUAUCAUCCUUUCGGGGGUGAGAGAGUGGCGAACUGGUGAGUAACACGUAGGUUAUCUACCCUCAAGACGGGGACAACCCAGGGAAACUUGGGCUAAUACCGGAUGUGAGCAACUUUUAGUUGUUUGAAAGGUGGCGUAAGCUGUCGCCUGGGGAUGAGCCUGCGUCCUAUUAGUUAGUUGGUGAGGUAACGGCUCACCUAGGCAAUGAUAGGUAGGCGGCCUUAACGGGUGGUCGCCCACACUGGGAUUGAGAUACGGCCCAGACUCCUACGGGAGGCAGCAGUCGAGAAUAGUCUACAAUGGUCGGAAGACUGAUAGUGCGACGCCGCGUGAACGAUGAAUCCCUUCGGGGUGUAAAGUUCUUUUAUAUGUGAGCAGUGCUUCUUAUAUUAACAGUAUGGGGAGAGAGAUAUUAGCAUAUGAAUAAGCAACGGCUAACUCCGUGCCAGCAGCCGCGGUAAACUCG
rnacentral:rRNA from 1 species